rnacentral:rRNA from 1 species
AUUGAACGCUGGCGGCAUGCCUUACACAUGCAAGUCGAACGGUAACAGGUCUUCGGAUGCUGACGAGUGGCGAACGGGUGAGUAAUACAUCGGAACGUGCCUAGUAGUGGGGGAUAACUACUCGAAAGAGUGGCUAAUACCGCAUGAGAUCUACGGAUGAAAGCAGGGGAUCGCAAGACCUUGUGCUACUAGAGCGGCCGAUGGCAGAUUAGGGAGUUGGUGGGAUAAAAGCUUACCAAGCCGAGGAUCUGUAGCUGGUCUGAGAGGACGAUCAGCCACACUGGGACUGAGACACGGCCCAGACUCCUCCGGGAGGCAGCAGUGGGGAAUUUUGGACAAUGGGCGCAAGCCUGAUCCAGCAAUGCCGCGUGCAGGAUGAAGGCCUUCGGGUUGUAAACUGCUUUUGUACGGAACGAAACGGUCUGGGUUAAUACCCUGGGCUAAUGACGGUACCGUAAGAAUAAGCACCGGCUAACUACGUGCCAGCCGCCGCGGUAAGAC